rnacentral:rRNA from 1 species
UACAUGGGGUGCAAGCGUUGCUCGGAAUUAUUGGGCGUAAAGCGCGCGUAGGCGGUUACUCAAGUCGGAUGUGAAAGCCCUCGGCUUAACUGAGGAAGUGCACCCGAAACUGAGUAGCUAGAGUACUAAAGAGGGUCGCGGAAUUCCCGGUGUAGAGGUGAAAUUCGUAGAUAUUAGGAAGAACGCCAGUGGCGAAGGCGGCUCACUGGCCCGGUACUGACGCUGAGGCGCGAAAGCGUGGGGAGCAAACAGG